rnacentral:misc_RNA from 1 species
GUGCCUAUGGAAAGUUCAGUUAAUUCCUCCCUGGGAGAAAAGGGCUUAGACAAUUCAAAAGGUCAGCAGGAGAAGGUCAACAGAAUGGCUGAAGACAUUGUGUUGCCAACUGGAGUUUUAAACUUGAAACGUCCAGCUGAUAGCCCUGUUUCAAGUCUCAACUUUGGUGAUCAUAGUAGCAUGCCUGGAGAUCCUGCAGCCAUGUCUUUGGAGGAUAAGGUGGCAAAGUUUAUUCAGAGCGGAGAUUUGGAUGUCAUUGAAGAUACUUUCUAUGGCAUAUUGGAUGAAAGCACCAAAUAUAGUGAGGGGGUUAAUGAACCAGAGAAUGAGACUGAAAUUCCAUCAAAGACACCUUCAGAAGAGAAAUCUGAACAUGCAGUUAGCAGAAGCAAUGCUGCUUUAGCAUUGAAUGGGAAUAUACCAACAUCCAAGCACAACUUGCCUCCUGUGAGGAUUUACCACCCUGCUAGGAAUGACAGUUUGUCAGAUGAAGGCCCAGCCAGUUCUGAUCUUGACAAGGAUUAUGAUGUUGAGAC